GUGGCUACUGUGACCCUCACCUCUACCGCAUGCCCGGGUCGGACCAGUUCCGUCGGAUACGGUGACGUGGAGAGGGCACCUGGUCUCUCCGGCUCGGGUCUUCGUCUAGUGGGUGACACGUUAAUCAGCGUGCAGUUACCGUGGUCCUGAGGGAUGAAGGCCAAGGAACUUGGCGUAGACUGGAAGGCUUCCUGGAGGAGAAAGGGGAAACUGGAGACAGACAAGCACACAGGGAGAACGAUCAUGAACAUGGAUGGCCAUCUGCAAGCUUAGGAGAGCGGCCUGGAGCAGACUCACUCCCUCAACGGCUCUGGGGGAAGCAGCCUCUGACACCGUGAUCCUGGACUUCUGGAUUCCAGAGCAGUGGGGAGAUAAAUUUCUGUUGUUUAAGCCGCCAGGUUUAUUUAUGGUUCCUGGAAUAGGCGCUAGAGGGGGCUGCAACCCAGACCUGCCGACAGGCCACUCACUGAGUACACAAUCACUGCCUCAGCAUCUGUUCUGUGUGGCCCGCUGCCUGCGGGGCCUUGAACUGACAGGAGCCCUCCCUCGAGUGCGUGACCUAGAUGACAGCCCGCAGAGUCACCAGUAAACCGAAGUUCCUGAUGUGACCCCCCACCCAACACCCUUGUGAUAACCUCUCUCCCUGUGGGCCCCAUAGAUUAAACCCCUGUGAAGCUCACCAAAACCCUGCUCCCUCUGCUUUGAACUGACCUAUCCAGCCUUAGCCCAGGAACCCCAAAGCACAGCCCUGUGGACCUAAUACAGGUGUGCGCCCCGGGUCCCGACUCCUGGGCACUCUGCCUGUACCUCCUCCAGGACCUGUGAGUCGUAAGCUUCUCUGUUCCGCUGUUUCUUGAGGUCUUCGUUGAACCACCAGGCAGCCUGGCCACAUGCCUUCUGACACUGCAGGCAGCACCCACAGGGGUGGAGUGAUAGCCGGGGCAGCACCGGGAGAAUGGAGCAGACAGGAAGGGCAUUGCAAGGG